GUUUCUCAUCUAUCUAAACAUAUGAUUCAGGAGCCAUGCCCCUGAGACACAAACUCCGCUUGUGCCUGAAUAUUACAGACAUCUCUGAACAGGGACUUUGGAGACCAGGGCAGCUCCUCUGAAUUUGACCCUUGGAGAUCAGAAAAUAAUCCCAGGGGGGAGAUUUCCAGAUGACAGCGGCAGAGAACUGGGGCCCAGACUUUGCAUUUUCCUUCUGAACUAUGUAAACUCUAUUUUAGCUGUUUAAAGGCACCUAUCACUGUGGUAUCUAAGCAAGUAUUGAACAGAAAGCAAGUCAGUUUCUGGCUGCUUUCCCUACAAUUUUGAAACUGAAAAGACUAUGUAGCAGUCAGUAGUUAGGCACAGCCCAAAGCAACUCAGCCAUAAGUCCCUUCCUAGCAGUUUUCCAUCUACUUUAUUGUGUUUGUACAGUGCCUAGCACAAGGGGUCCAUGACUGGACCGCCUAGGUACUCUGAUAACAGGAAAAAAAUGUUUGGGGGGGAAAAAAGGACCAUUCUCUGGUUAACCAGCAGAUACUGAAGUUGUAUAACGCUCUCUGCACCCUUUGCUGCCAGUUGUAUUCCUGAAGGAUGCUGGAUGUGUUCAACUACCUUCUCACAUUCUGGCAGAGCGAGCUUCCAAAUUGUUUGUUGCUGAGAUUCCACAAGCUAAACAAUCUGGCCCUGUCUUUCCCCAAAUUGAGCCCUAGCUGGUGGCCAGUGACCUACUGCUUGGUGAGGUCACUGCUGCCUGUACCACACUUCAAAAAAUUCUUAUUCAGAGUUUGCUUUUCUGAUUUUUAACCCCCUGCUGAUUUAUAUCCUAAAGCAAAUGUGUUACUAUUUCAGCUGCUCGCCUAAGGCCCUCCAGUCUUUGCUACCUGGCAGGCUUGCUAGUUACCCUCCAUUCGCCGAAGGGAAAACAAUACAGUAUCAUCUAUCCUUCCCCUACCUAAUUUGUUUAAGAAAACCAAAAGUGACUGCUGCAGUUAAUUAAAAGGUACUGUCUGAUGUUUUCAAAAGAAUGCUCCCCUGACUUUCUUGCCGGAGGCAGGUAAAAUGGAUGUGACUGACAGCCUGGUUGCUGGUUGUGAGUUUUAGAGCAAAGAUGCAGUCUCAGCUCAUAUGAGUUGCCACAGGCGACCCUGCAGGUACAAUGUGGCACGAAGAAUGAAAUGAUCUGGAGGAAACCGGUAAAGUCAUCUGAGCGUGGGUGGUUGUUUUUUAAUUAAAUCUAACCAAAAUUUUUCAGAUCUCAAAACCUCUUGGGUUCACUUCCAGUUAGAAGAAAAAUUGUGGAUGGCUUCUUGCUGUAACUAUUAAUUUGCCCAUCCCUCACAACAAAAACCAAUAAGGGAGAUCAUUCCCAGAUCCAUUGUCUUAUGUAAAAUGCUGGCAAUAGACUUAAAUAGACUAAGAAAAAAUCUAAUUUUCUUACCCGUAUGCUUAGGUACCCUGGUGUAUUUAAACUCAGCAGUGAAUUACACCACUCAGAGUCCUAUUACAUAGUUCUUUGACCCAGACCAACCUUGUAUUUUUCUUUUCUCUGUUUUUUUCUGAUGGCACUGUAAAUGGUUUUUGCGUGCUACCAAAGUCAUGGUUAUAGAGCAUAUAAAAACAGGUUACUAUGUUUAUUCUCCAAGUAAUCCAUCUGUA